ACGUACACUCCUGCGGGAGGCAGCAGUGGGGAAUAUUGGACAAUGGGCGCAAGCCUGAUCCAGCCAUGCCGCGUGAGUGAUGAAGGCCCUAGGGUUGUAAAGCUCUUUCACCGGUGAAGAUAAUGACGGUAACCGGAGAAGAAGCCCCGACUAACUUCGUGCCAGCAGCCGCGGUAAUACGAAGGGGGCUAGCGUUGUUCGGAUUUACUGGGCGUAAAGCGCACGUAGGCGGACUAUUAAGUCAGGGGUGAAAUCCCGGGGCUCAACCCCGGAACUGCCUUUGAUACUGGUAGUCUUGAGUUCGAGAGAGGUGAGUGGAAUUCCGAGUGUAGAGGUGAAAUUCGUAGAUAUUCGGAGGAACACCAGUGGCGAAGGCGGCUCACUGGCUCGAUACUGACGCUGAGGUGCGAAAGCGUGGGGAGCAAACAGGAUUAGAUACCCGGGUAGUCCCAUG
rnacentral:rRNA from 1 species